GUCAGGGUUGAUCGAGACAUCGAAGAGUAGAGUCGUUAGAGUUGAUCGAGUUGUCAGUGUUGUAGAGUUGUUAGAGUUGCUAGUGAGAGAGAGAGAGAGAGAGAGAGAGAGAGAGAGAGAGAGUGUGUGUGUGUUAGAUUCAUUCGUUGUGACGAGAGUUGCCAAAUAUCUGCAAAGUUAUUUGAGAUAGAUACGAGUAUCGCAUUUAGUUUCAGUUAAACAAACAUCGUUUUCUGUCCAAUUGAUACCUGUAUAUUCAAUUCAUUAUUAAUAAAUUGUAAAUAAUCGGGAAAAAA